CCUACGGGAGGCAGCAGUGGGGGAUAUUGCACAAUGGGCGCAAGCCUGAUGCAGCCAUGCCGCGUGUGUGAAGAAGGCCUUCGGGUUGUAAAGCACUUUCAGCGGGGAGGAAGGCGGUGAGGUUAAUAACCUCAUCGAUUGACGUUACCCGCAGAAGAAGCACCGGCUAACUCCGUGCCAGCAGCCGCGGUAAUACGGAGGGUGCAAGCGUUAAUCGGAAUUACUGGGCGUAAAGCGCACGCAGGCGGUCUGUCAAGUCGGAUGUGAAAUCCCCGGGCUCAACCUGGGAACUGCAUUCGAAACUGGCAGGCUAGAGUCUUGUAGAGGGGGGUAGAAUUCCAGGUGUAGCGGUGAAAUGCGUAGAGAUCUGGAGGAAUACCGGUGGCGAAGGCGGCCCCCUGGACAAAGACUGACGCUCAGGUGCGAAAGCGUGGGGAGCAAACAGGAUUAGAUACCCGUGUAGUC
rnacentral:rRNA from 1 species